AUUGAACGCUGGCGGCAGGCCUAACACAUGCAAGUCGAACGAGUGGCGGACGGGUGAGUCAUGUCUGGGAAACUGCCUGAUGGAGGGGGAUAACUACUGGAAACGGUAGCUAAUACCGCAUACCAUCAGAUGUGCCCAGAUGGGAUUCGCUAGUAGGGGGGGUAAAGGCUCACCUAGGCGACGAGCCCUAGCUGGUCUGAGAGGAUGACCAUCCAGACUGGAACUGAGACACGGUCCAUACUCCUCCGGGAGGCAGCAGGGGGGAAUAUUGCAAAAUGGUCGCAAGCCUGAUGCAGCCAUGCCGCGUGUAUGAAGAAGGCCUUAGGGUUGUAAAGUACUUUCAGCGGGGAGGCGUUACCCGCAGAAGAAGCACCGGCUAACUCCGUGCCAGCCGCCGCGGUAAUAC
rnacentral:rRNA from 1 species